rnacentral:tRNA from 4 species
GGCAGGGGAGCUCGGUUGGUUCGUAGCAACGCACUCAUAACGCGUCGGUCAUGGGUUCGAAUCCCAUCUCUGCCA